AGGAGGAGUUGUGUACAACUGGUGUUAAUCCUUAUUGAAACAUCUGGAAGAAUUCUCUAGAGAACAAUUCUUAGCCUGGAAAAUAAAGUGGAGAGCAUCCUCUGACUGGAGAUUACUGUAAUUACAUGGAGAAUCAAAGGGCAGAGUGACAUUAGAAGUGGGAGGAGGAAGAGUAAUCUGGCGAACGAGGGAGUGAAUUAUCCCUAGACCUGUUAUCAUUCAAGGGUGGAAAGAAAGAUGGGAAGACACAAGAGCACUUCUGAAAGUUCGACCUAGAGUCCAAGAAUUUCGGAAAUAUCUGCCAUUGUCUGACUUUGCAUUUUAGCGUAAACAGAAAAUGAAUAGAGAUGAUCUUUGAAUAAACUGGCUUAUAUGCAACAAACGUUAUUUUAUAAUCCAUCAAACAGAUCAGGCCACUUAAAAAUGACUCAAAAAUCUCUCAAGAGUCAUAAUUUCAACCCAGCUUGGUCAUCCCAAUACCUGUGUUCUCUGCU